CCGCACAAGCGGUGGAGCAUGUGGUUAAUUCGAAGCAACGCGAAGAACCUUACCAGGUCUUGACAUCCCGAUGCUAUUCUAGAGAUAGAAAGUUACUUCGGUACAUCGGUGACAGGUGGUGCAUGGUUGUCGUCAGCUCGUGUCGUGAGAUGUUGGGUUAAGUCCCGCAACGAGCGCAACCCCUAUUGUUAGUUGCCAUCAUUCAGUUGGGCACUCUAGCGAGACUGCCGGUAAUAAACCGGAGGAAGGUGGGGAUGACGUCAAAUCAUCAUGCCCCUUAUGACCUGGGCUACACACGUGCUACAAUGGUUGGUACAACGAGUUGCGAGUCGGUGACGGCGAACUAAUCUCUUAAAGCCAAUCUCAGUUCGGAUUGUAGGCUGCAACUCGCCUACAUGAAGUCGGAAUCGCUAGUAAUCGCGGAUCAGCACGCCGCGGUGAAUACGUUCCCGGGCCUU
rnacentral:rRNA from 1 species